ACAUUCCCACCAACAGUGUAAAAGCGUUCCUAUUUCUCCAGGAAUCUGAAUUUUUAACAGGUUCCUCUUUAUCCCUCUGCCAGGAGAAUAUGAUUUAAGUGACAUGACUUCCAUCCUUUGAGAAAUACUUCAUGAUACUAUACUUUCUUCUCAUGUGUAAGCCCAGGGCAUGAAAAUGAAUAAUUGCUACCCAAUAAUUGGGCAUCUUUUCUGUUUCCACUGCUGGAAGGAGGGGCAGAUGGGUUGGAGGAGCACAGUGUGAGGAUAGGCAGGCUCAACUUGCUUAUGGAGCACAGAUCACCAAAGAUAAUGCAGCACACCGUUGGCAGAGGGCUAAACCAUGUGGCUCAGACUGGAAACACACUGAGAAUUUAGAAAAUGGAGCCACCACUUUAGUGGGACCUGAGUGGUCAGCGAAGGAGUUAGUAGGCGAGCUGGGCUGGUGAAGGGGAUACAGCAAGUGGGAGAAGGACAAGGAGGAGCUACUUGGAGAAUAUGUCUAAGGGAAGAAGGUUAGACGUGGGGAGCUGGAAGAACAGAUGUGAUAUGGGAAGAAGAAGAAGCAGAGACACAUGAGAUCAUGCUGGCAGUAAGCAGGUGCACAGUAGCACGGGGGUGUCAGCCUCCUCAUUGUGGAAAGCAUGAGCCUUAGCCCCAGAAGAGCAAGAAACAUCCACAGACAGCCUGAGAAACCAUGAAGACCAAAGAAGGGACAAUGGAGCAGCAGCAUCCAGUGGAUGUUCAACAAGCAUGUAUUGCGCGUCAGGCAUCGAGCCAGUACUUACGAUGCAGAGAGGACUAAGACUCUGUUCCCACUCUCCAUAAGACACUACCAAAGUGUAGAGUUAGGGAAGACAGCUUCAAUGUGUUCAUUUCUUUCAUAUAUUUAACUAAGCUUUUUUUUAAGUUUUAUUUUCUAAGCACAUAAGGCAGACUUUGUUAGCUUUGAGGGGAAUCUGUGCUGGGUAGGGAGGUGGUAAGAAAAGGAUGAAAAGAGAAACAGUCUUUUCUCCAAGCAAGUUAAUGCUUGAAUAGGGGGAAUAAGACAUAGUAGGAUGUAGACACUAAGACUGGAUUCUAAUCUUCUGGGAUUCCAAGUUCUUCUGCAUGAGCUUAAUGACAAUGAGAUUGCUUGUGACUUCACUCCUCGCCUUGACCACACAGAUGGAAGGUUUUGGCUGUGUUAGGUCAAUGCAUGGGGAAAGGUGUCAGCUUCCCCACCGUGCAGUCAGUGUUGUGCAAAAGCAGAGGCAGGAUCUGAGGGCAAGACAAACUGGGGGCUCCUGCUUGAUUGUCUCACCUGCCCCUCUUUGGCAGCGGGUUGUGUCCCUGGCCUUUUAGACCUAAGCAGAGAGGGAAUUUCAAGUCAGGUGGCGCCUGUACAGUCUAUGGAAUAGGUAGUUAAUGAGGUCUGGAGUUGAUGUUGCCUUCCUCUCCUUCUCUGAUCACUUUCAUGUCACUCACCCAUCCCAGAUGCCAUGGUGUUCUCAAUGCCCCAGUUCUGGGGUUUCCUGCCCCACUCCACCUUUCCUUUCCUGAUCCUCAAGAAAACUGACUUCUUUUCCUAAGCCCCCCGUCUCCACUUUGUGAGGGGCAUUCUGAGCAUGGAGGCUAAUCAAUAUGUUCUCAGUAUCCAAUGGAAGCCUAACGUGCCACCUCUUCCAAGGGCAGUGCAUUUUAACUCAGACCCAACGCCCCAACCAAAUGAAAGAUCUCUAAUCUGGAAUUUUCAACAAUGGGGCUGGUGGGUCAGGGUGCACCAGAUCUCAGGAGGUUUAUCCAGAAGACUUUCAAGUGCCCCAAGAGGCUGAGUGGUCCGCCAAGUGCCUGCAUGUGUGCAGUCAGGAAGCUUGAGUCUGGGUUCUGCCUGGGGCAAGUCACUACAACUCCCAGAGCCUCAUUUCUGCUAUUCGUAAAAUGGAGAAGACACCUCCUAUGAUAUCAAGUCACUGACUUGUUCCCAGCAUCGUUCCUAUCCUCCUGACUGUGAAAGAAAGAGAAUCCUUGAACCUCCCUCCUCCCUUUCUUUCCAAGGGAAACUUUGAAUUUGUUAGCUCAAUGCCUGGGCAGGAACAUCUACUGAGAGAGGCCAGAACAUUUCCAUCAAAGAGGAGGCAAAUAUCUAGUGAGAGAAAAAAGUAGUUCCAAGACUGGGGGCUGGGGCACCAAAAGAAGUUGAGAGCCACCUGCAUGGUUUACUGGAGAAGUGUUGGCAGCAAGCUGGAAAUGAAACGGAGAGAGACUCUUUGAUCCACAAGGUCUGUGAGCAAGAUUGAAAGGAAAGAAAGGAAAAGAGGGUUUUAAGCCACGUUGUCAUGGAUUGGAACUGUAUCUUCUGUGAUAUUCUUUGAGAACAUCGGUAAACAUUGGAAUUGCUUGUGCUAAAAAAUGAAAUUACAUUGCUUAGCCUUGAAACUGUGCAACCUUUCAACUGCUGAUGAAAACAACCUCAGCAAGAUGAAAAUUUCUCCAUUUUCCUGAAACUAUUCUGCAUCAUAAAAUUCAUUGCAGGUGGUACC
rnacentral:lncRNA from 1 species